AACGGUGGGAGUUUGAUGAAAUUUUGAUCUUGGACAUUUUCUCGACUGGCAUAGGAGGCUGGAGGGUCAAUUAUAACCAUAAAUAAGGAUUUAUAAUUAUUUUAUUGAAUGGGAGUUAGUAUUUAUUUGCCAACAGUUGAAGCCAGAGCAGUUCUUGGUAAUAAAACCAGAAUUGGUGAAGGUUCACAUUAAAGGAGAAGCAUAUGGACAACACAACACAAAAUAAAAAUAAAAAUUCGGUUACAAAGAUUUGGAUUACCAAAACAUGCGGAACUUUAAUACAAUGAACAUGCGUAAUUAACCACCGCCGCCGCCACUACCACCACCCAAAAAAAAAAAAAAAAAAAGGCCCUACUAUUUUGGGGGUACACCCUGAUUCGUAACUUCACCGAAGAAAUCCGUAACUAAUCUAUACUACUUUUAAAUGUACGAAGCAAUGUUCCCAAACGACACCAACAUGAGAAACGAAGCAACUCCCAUCUCUUGCGAAGUCGCGCCUCCAAAUUCCAAGCCCAUAGCACAACUGUUACAUCGGUCACCAAUGCAACAUUAAAUGCACUGGCUUCUCCAAAGGGACUUCUACAGAUGACCUCGAUCUCCCGACGUUGCACACCGCACGACACAGCAGCACACAACGCAAAAUGGCUCCUUAGGUGCUCGCAAUCUCUUCCAGCCAGUGUUCUACCGAUUUGAAAUGACAACAUUCAAGAUAACACUGCAAAGAGAAACCAAUCAAAGAGAAAGAGGACCUAAAAGUAGAUGUUAUAGGUGCUUAAUUUGUUUCGGUGGACACCAAGUCAUCUAUCUGACUUUGCAAAUCCAUCAAAGACUAUGUGUGCCCAUACAAGUCUUGUUUGCCUUUUGAGUUGAGAGCUUUGUUAACCAAUUCGUUAUAAACCUUUAAUUUGUAGACGAACAUAAGAGGUUUUGUGUUUUGCUUGCGUUUUUUCUUUGAAUUCUACACUUAAAAUUUCCCAA